rnacentral:ncRNA from 1 species
AGGACGAAAGGGCACACUCACCGUGAGGUGAGGUCGCAAUGCCACGGGGCUCCGCGAGGAGUCGGCCGGGCUGCCGAA